rnacentral:rRNA from 1 species
UACGUAGGGGGCUAGCGUUGUCCGGAUUUAUUGGGCGUAAAGAGCGUGUAGGCGGCCAGGUAGGUCUGCUGUGAAAACUCGAGGCUCAACCUCGAGAUGUCGGCGGAAACCAUCUGGCUAGAGUCCGGAAGAGGAAAGUGGAAUUCCCGGUGUAGCGGUGAAAUGCGCAGAUAUCGGGAAGAACACCCGUGGCGAAGGCGGUUCUCUGGGACGGUACUGACGCUGAGACGCGAAAGCGUGGGGAGCGAACAGG